AACGCACAUUGCGCCCUUUGGUAUUCCUUAGGGCAUGCCUGUUCGAGCGUCAUCUAACCCCUCAAGCACUGCUUGAUGUUGGGCGCUUGUCCCGCCUCCGCGCGCGGACUCGCCUCGAAGACAUUGGCGGCCUGUGUAUUGGCUACGAGCGCAGCAGACUCGCGCCUCGUCCCCUCUCGCGCAGGCACCCAGGAAGCGCAAUACCCCCCAAAUUUUGACCUCGGAUCAGGUAGGGAUACCCGCUGAACUUAA
rnacentral:misc_RNA from 1 species